AAACUCUAUCUCUAGUUUUGUUUUCUUGUUUCCUCUUGUGUGCUGAGUAACUUUAGUGUGUCCUCUUCCUCAAAUUGUUCCAGACCUGAUUGAGAUCAAGCUGAUUUCCAUACUCUACUCUUCUUAAAGAGUGUUUCCUGACUUCUGGAUAAGGAUUCAAGUCUCCAGUUAUUUCCUCCGGAUCAAGUUCAAGCUGGCAGCUUCCUGGCUUUUCGACCACCUGGAUCAGAUCAUAAGCAAACCCUGUCCACCCUCCAACAGACUCUCACGCAGGUACCUCUAAUCUGGGCACCACACCAUCAAUCCACUCUCCGUGAUCAGAGCUCCUAAGGAUCUCCCUUCACAGAACUUCUCCUGCAUUGUGCUCUCCGACCACGCAUCCCUCAUCCCUCUGGCGGUUCAUCUUCCCUCCCCAUUGGUGAAUUACCGGUCCCGGAUCCCAAACCCAUUUCACUCCAGUGAAAAUAAAUCUUUUAAACAUACUGUUUAUUCUCCUGAGUGUUAUUCUGAUUGUGGGUCGGAUCUAUAACAAACAAUAUGACACCUCUGUUGAGUCGUCCUGUGAGACAUGCUGGAAAUGGCAGCGAAUGUUUAUUUCCCGCGGGUUUUAUAAUCCCGGGUGUCGUCAGAGAUGCGACGUCUGUUGAGCUGUGCAUGUCGAACUGCGCAGCCCAGCCGGUCUAUCCCCCAAAAUGGACGACCCCAACACAACCAAGAAAUGAGCACUGUACACAAAUUAGCACUUUCAAGUUGGACUAAACUCUGCAACUGCCCACGUGGACAACCCAAUGUCCCCUGAAAAAACGUUUAAUGGUCAGAACUGACAAAGAUUGAGCACAUUAGCCACAAUCAUAAGACUAAUGUUUAGGAAUGUCAUGAUGAGGCUUUCAAACAUGGUGGCACUAUCAUCAUGCUUGGAGUUUGUUUCACAGCCAGUGGUACUGGUAGACUGCACAAAAUGGAUGGAAUAAUGAUGAGGGAGGACAACCUCCAAAUCUUCCAACAGGACAACAAGCCCAAGCACAUGUAAACUCUGGUUUCAAAUAGAUGAAACAUGAUUCUUGAAUAGCCCCAACUUCAACAUUGCUGAAAUUGGGUACGUGCCAGGAAACCAACCAUUUCAGAUUAGCUCCAACUUUCCUGACGAGAAGCGUGGUCAAACAUCCAACUAGAAGUAUAAUAGAAUCAGAUCAGUUUAUCAUUUGUCCGAAA